rnacentral:rRNA from 1 species
GACGAACGCUGGCGGCGUGCUUAACACAUGCAAGUCGAACGGGCCUUGUCCCCUUUUUUUUUGGGGGUGGGGUUAGUGGCGAACGGGUGAGUAACACGUGAGUAACCUGCCCCUCACUUCUGGAUAACCGCUUGAAAGGGUGGCUAAUACGGGGUGUUCUGGCCUGCUCGCAUGGGUGGGUUUGGAAAGAUUCGACCGGUUUUGGUUGUUUUGGUGGGGGAUGGGCUCGCGGCCUAUCAGCUUGUUGGUGGGGUGAUGGCCUGCCAAGGCUUUGACGGGUAGCCGGCCUGAGAGGGUGGGCGGUCACCCUGGGACUGAGACACGGCCCGGACUCCUACGGGAGGCAGCAGUGGGGAAUAUUGCACAAUGGGCGCAAGCCUGAUGCAGCGACGCCGCGUGAGGGAUGGAGGCCUUCGGGUUGUGAACCUCUUUCGCCAGUGAAGAAGGUCCUGCUCUUUGUGGUGGGGUUGACGGUAGCUGGGUUAAUGAAGCGCCGGCUAACUACGUG